GACGUAGGGGGCAAGCGUUGUCCGGAUUUACUGGGCGUAAAGCGCGUGUAGGCGGCCACGCAGGUCCGUUGUGAAAACUGGAGGCUUAACAUCCAGACGUCGACGGAAACCGUGUGGCUAGAGUACGGAAGAGGAGAGUGGAAUUCCUGGUGUAGCGGUGAAAUGCGCAGAUAUCAGGAAGAACACCAAUGGCGAAGGCAGCUCUCUGGGACGGUACUGACGCUGAGACGCGAAAGCGUGGGGAGCGAACAGG
rnacentral:rRNA from 1 species